rnacentral:lncRNA from 10 species
CUCUCUGCAGGUGCUGCUAUCACCACAGAGCAGCCCGAUUGCGGCUGGCGUGUGCCUGAGCUGGCUGUCCCUCUGGCCACAUGUCCGGUGCUACAGGGUCUUCAAGGGUGUGUGGGGCUGGGCAGCAUCCGCCAGGCCCAGGCCCCGGGAACUGAAGGUGUUUCCUCCACGUCAGCCUCUGCACCUCCUAAGCACACACCUGCUGCAGGUGCCGGGAGUCAGUGCCUGAGACACCUGAGGACGCCUCCUCCUUGAAGGCUGGAGUCGACUGACUGCAUCUUGUACUGAUUUUGCGGGGAUUUCUGGUCUUUUUUAUCCAAUGCACGCUGGUCCCCGCCGCUGCUGGAGUGAGGCUGGUUGUCUCUGAGUGGGCUCUGCACCCUCACAGCAGGCAUCCUGACCCCUUUCUUUCCCACUCCAAGCUCACAUGCUGGAUCCCGCACCACAGACAGCCCCGAGGCCGCGCUCACAAGACCAGAUGGCCAGCUCGCCAUUUCUACCUUUCGGUGUCCAGGAGUUUUUCUUUUGUCUUUACUUGUUUAUUGAGGAAUGAAGAGUCAAUGAAGACUGAUCAAGACACUGCCUUGAAAGGGUUUCAUGGGCAAAGAACAAAAGCAAAUCAAAGGGUUCAUCCAGGCAAGGGGCUGACGCUCUUCCCCUGUUGGGGAGGAGGAACAGAUGAGGGCGGGGAGGACACAGCCCAGGACUCACAAGGCCCUGCCGUCCACAUUUCCUGAGAACUGCGAAGCAUCGUGCAGCCACGAGUUUCCCCAGACACCAGCACCCAUCCCCAGGCCUGCGGGUCAGUGAUUCUAGCUCAUCUGAUGGGCCGUCCAUAGGGAAGGGAUGGGCCCGCAGACCUGCCUGUUUGGUUGAUUGAAGUGGGACCUCUUUCACGACGAACGCCAGAUUGAAAUUCAUCACAGCAAAUGCCUAAGUUUGGAGAACAAUAUAUUUAUAGUGAGCUGAUUAGAUAUCAGAUGCACCUUUUCUCAACAAGUCGUUCUCUCACCCGUCUGAUUUCUAACCUCCUGAAGAGCAAAACCUGUCACCGACCCAGGAGCAGCAGGCAGAAGAGAAAUUCCAAAACAUCCUGAAGAGCAAGAGGCUCUGUGGAAAAUACCAGGGCUUGUGCAGGCGGGGGAGCUCACCGCCCUGGGCCAGAAGCCCCUCACCUGGAGGCAGCGGGUGCUGCCCUGAGUCAGGGCCCACAGGAGGCUUCUGGGCACAGACACACCCUGCAGAGAGGGUCCUGCUGGAACGCUUUGACAUUUCUAGGAUCUGGACUGUCCACGGGGAGAGACCAGGAGGGCAUGAGAAAUACGCUGAGUUGGGGCCGGGUGCAGUGGCUCAUGCCUGUCAUCCUAGCACUUUGGGAGGCCAAGACGGGUGGAUCACAUGAGGCUAGGAGUUUGAGACCAGCUUGGCCAGCAUGAUGAAACCCCGUAUCUACUAAAAAUACAAAUAUUAGCUGGGCUUGAUGGUGCACACCUGUAGUCCCAGCUACUUGGGAGGCUGAAGCAGGAGAAUCACUUGAACUUGGGAGGCUGAGGCAGGAGAAUCACUUGAACUUGGGAGGCUGAGGCAGGAGAAUCACUUGAACCCAGGAGGCGGAGGAGGUUGCAGUGAGCAGAAAUCGUGCCACUGCUCUCCAGCCUGGGCUACAGAGUAAGACUCUGUCUCAAAAAGAAAAAAAAAAAGAAACACACUGAGUUGGAACUCACUAUAUCACAAACAUUGAGGCCUACUUGCAUAACACAGUUGUUCCAAGCAACAAAUGUCACCAAAUGCACGCACUGUCGCCCAGUGUGACGUUUCUAAGGUGAAUGCACAAUGCGAGGACAUGGAAGCCUGGAGGAUGCGGGAAAGGCGCGUGUGGCCUGUGCUGGGCACCUCCCAUCAGCCAGAUGCACCUGCGCUCCUGGAGGAUGUAGGAAAGGGGCAUGUGGCCUGUGCUGGGCACCUCCCGUCAGCCAGACGCUCCUGCACUCCCACCCCGGCCAUUCCCUUUCCUUUCUUCCGCCAACUCUUCACAUAGCCCAUGAUUUUGGGGGGAAGAAUUAUUUACCAAAUUUUUAAAUCCAUUUUUUCUUCCUCAAUCUAGACUAAUUUCUCAGGUCUGAGGCCUGGAAAGCUUUAUUCCCCAGGCCACUGAACUGCCCUCCUGGAGAGCGGGCCAGUGCUAUGAUUGCCUCUGAGGCCGUUUGAACCUGGAGCUCCCUUUCCUCUCCUACUAAAAUCCAGAAGAACGAGAGGUAAAUAAACAAGGCUCUCCCAGACAGCAUGGGGCAAUGAGCCUGUUUCCUGAAGUCCCAGUGGCCACACAGCUGAACCUUGCAAACUUCUUAUCAAACUCUCAGCCCAAGAACAAUUAGCCAGGAUCAACACCCCAGCAAAGGUCAUUUGGGUUUGGAUUACAAAUUGCCAUCACCUCAGAGAAGAGGAGAGGGGAUCUGUUUGAGAAGAAUGUUUCUCUGCAGCUAAGGAUUAGCAGGCAUCCACAAGCCCGCCCUGCAGAGAUCUUCGAAAGAGCCAGCUUCCGUUCCUCAGCCUUUCUUCUCUAAACACCAAGUUCCACCAUUGACAGAACACUGAGUCCUGCACAGUCACAUGGACACGAGUAAGGAGAGUUCAGAGGCUGCAGUGGAGUUCCACACGAAGCACAGGAGGUGAAACCCCUUUUUCCUGGCUCCUCAGGAGACAUGUGAAGACAACGCGAUUAGAGGUCCUUCAGGCACGGAUAGGAUGGCUUGGCAUCUUCUUCCGAGCAAGCGCAGCUCUCAGGCCGGGCCUGAGCCUGCAGCCUGUGUGCCCUCCAUCAUCAGGGCCCCCUCUCAGGACAGGCUACACCGAGGGUGGGACGGCGGACUUCCAGGGACACUUCCAAGUCGUGCCCAUGCAGAUACCUCAGUAUACACUGCCCACAGUUAAGAAACCACGACCUGAGACAUUGUUUUGAAGAGGUGAAAAUGCCUCCACUCAAGUGGCCCAGGAGCGUGAUCCAGGAAGACGAACACACAGAACCAUCUUCUGCAUGGUUUGAAAAUUCAGUGGAAACUAGUAAUGCCUAUGCGGGUUCACUGAUGAGAGGGCCCUAUGAGCCAUCCAGAGAAAAGCUGCCAUAUUUCCCUUCCAGAAGACCUGCUUGCAGGCCUUGAAUUUUGAGAGUGUGGGGAAAGCAGUCAAGCCCGCGCGGAGCGAUUGUGAGGGGCUCUGCUGGAAUUUGGCAGCGCGGAGGCUUGGAGAGAAGCCCCAUGCUGGCUCCCAUUCAGCCGGCCCGUUUUCCUCGAGCUUUGGAAGUUUCACUCAGCCGUGCACUCAAUGGCUUCACAAAGCUGAUUACAAGCUUCAGCGCAUUCCUGAAGGAGCCAAAAGCGACGCAGGUGCAAACGAGCCGAGGGAGCCCCUUAUCCCGGUGACAGAAUGGGACAAGCUGGGAAAGGCUUAGACCACACAAGUCCAAGGCUCACCAGGCCGCAGAAAGCCUGCCUUGGGAACCGGGGGUCAUUAUCCGCCCUAUUCAGCGGGGCCCGGGGACCCUGGGGGCCGAGCGAGGCCAGCCCGGGCGGGAGCACCGCCGCCAGCGCGCGCCGGCGACAGGGGGGAACCCCGCUGGGCGCUGCGGCCAGGCCGGGGCUCAGGGCGCUGGGCUGUGCGUUUGCACAAAUCUGUGUUCCGGCGGGCCGGUGUCAACCCUAGUGGGGACACGGGAGAAAGAGCACGCCAGUAGGCCACGCGGCGCGUGGGCAGUGCGCAACUUCUGUCGGCGUCCAGGCUGUACGGCCACGUUUCAGCCGGUGCCCCCAGGCCAUGGACACCCAGCUCCAGGGUCGCUCUGCGCCCUUUCUCCCCAGCCCACCUUUCCCAUUGGUCCCCUCUCCUGUCCGAGUGGCAGCGCGGCCCCGCAGGGAGCGACCCCGGGAGGGACAGUGACCGCACGCGUGGAGUGGGGACGGCGGGGCACAGGACGGUAGUCUAAGAGUGUUCGCAUGGCCGAGGACGCUUUCGCUGCGAGUUUGGGGUCGAGGGGCAGUUCCCUCCCGGAGUCAUUAACUUCGUCUCCUCGUGCUCAGGGACCAGCAACUUGGUGCUGCGGGCGCCAGAAAGAAAAGGGUAGCGCCUCGCGGAGCGCGCGGGGGAAGAGGGACUGCGGCAGCGGGACGCGAGGGCGGGAGGGGCGCAGCAGCGGGGAGCCGGAGCGCAGCGGAGGGGAGCGCUGGGGGGCGGGGAGCGCUCGGGCAGCCACCCUGUCCCCGUCUGGAGCCCCGCGCUGCGUCUAGGAGGGCGCAACACGCAGUCCCCGCGGGGGCCAGAGCUCGGAGCCCCCUAGUGCAUGCCCCCUCUCCUCGCGCCCUGCCGAGGCCUCGGCCCUGCCUGCCGUGCCCUGGGCCUGGUUGUGCCCGGGGGUCCCCGCGGGCAGGGCGCGGGGCAGGCAGGGCGCGCGCGCCGACGCUCUUUUGUCUGAUAACUAAUUUGAGUUAAUGCGAUCUUUAUGUAAAGCUAACAGCGGAUAAUUGUCUAUUUUCUCGCCAACAGUCUCCAUCACAAUCACUUAUCUGGAAACCUGCGGUUGGAUUAAUCGUUAUAUUCCCGAGAUGAGCGUCGCUGCAAUCCGCAGCGAACGCGGGUAGGGACCUGGAGACGCCUCCCGGGCGCUGGCGGGGCCGGUGUGGGCCAGCUCCGCUACCGCCUGAGACGCGGUGUGCCCAGGUGUUGGUGCCCGCGGGAGAGGGCUGUGGGGCGCCUUCCCCAGGAUUUGCUUGACUUGCUUUUCGCUCGAGUGGGUGGUGCGCGGGUGCGGGAGGCGGAGGGAGGAGGAGGGGUGAGGGGAGGAGGGCCUGUGGGGCUGCGGACCCGGAGCAGCCUGGGUGGAGCGCGGCCUCGGGAGGCCCUGGGUGCAUCGCGGCGGGGCCUGGGGGGGCCCAGGCGCCGGAGGAGCCGUCGGUGCCGGAAUGCAGCGUGUUUCACUUGGGAGAAACGUUGCCCUCGGUCCCUUGCCUCCCUCCUGUUGUCUCGGUUUUUCUGGCUUCGUCCUUCGUCCCACCCACCCGUUCCCACCUCAGGUCCCUCCCCCAGGAUCCCCUCCUUAAGGAUCCAGGUCUCUGAAAAUUAUUGGCAACAGUUACACGCCCCACGAUUGAAAUCCACAAGAGAAGAGUCCCAGUUCUGCAGGCCGCUCCAGGGCUAGGGGUAGAGAUGGUGGCAGGUGGUGCGUCAACUCUCUAGGGAAGAGGAACUUGCAUUACAAAGACUUGUCUUUCUGAGCUGAAGUCAAAACGGGGGCGUCAAGCGCGCUCCGUUUGGCGGCGGUGGAGGGGCCGCGCGCCCGCGCUGUCCCAGCCGGAGCUGCCCUGGCUGGUGAUUGGAGGUUUAACGUCCGGAAUUCAGGCGCUUCUGCAGCUCAGAUUUGCCGGCCAAGGGGCCUCAGUUGCAACUUUUCAAAAUGGUGUUUCUGGAAAAUAACAAAUUCAGACUCAACUGGUGACAGCUUUUGGCUAUAGAGAAUGAAACUGCUUCCCUUUGGCGGUGGAACUCUUAAACUUCGAAGAGUGAAAGAAUACAAUGAAAUAAAAUGCCAUAAGAUCACUGGAUUUUUCAGAAAAAGGAAGACCCCAAAUUACUCCCAAAAUGAGGCUUUGUAAAUUCUUGUUAAAAAUCUUUAAAUCUCGAAUUUCCCCCUACAACAUCUGAUGAGUGCUUUAAGAGCAAACGAGCAAAUCCCACCUCGAGAAUCAACAAACCCAAGCUCUGGCCAAGGCUCUCCCCGCGUUUUCUUCUCGUGACCUGGGGAAUGUCCCGCCCCAUCGCUCACCUGGCUCUUGUCAUCUCGCUCAUCUUGAAGUGACCCGUGGACAAUGCUGCUCCCUGCCGCAGCUCC